CUGUGCCCAGAUUCCCUCCCAGCUGGGCAAGCUGGCCAAGCAGGCUUCACUCUGAAGCCGGUGCUGGGUCACAGGGCUGUUUGAAAGCCUGCAAGCUACUUAAGUGAGACCUGGUAACAUAUAUGCUCAACUGGGGACACCACCACCCAGCGACAUCCAGGUGGGGACUUGGGGCUUGAACCUGGGUCCUCAUACACUGUAAUGCAUGUGCUCUUCCAGAUGCACCACCAACCAGCCCCUCCUUACAUCCUAAACUUUUGAUCUUUCUGUGGUUUGACUACUUACUGAUUUGCUAUAAGGUUUGUACAUGGUUGUAAGGCAAGUCUGCUCAAAGGAAUAAAGAGAAGGAGAAAGAAGACACAGAUUCCUGCUGAUGUGGUUUGAGUGUCUGGACCCACCAUGUAUUAAAUCAAACUAGUUAUGUAAAACACCACCAGGUUCCAGAUGCUACCAUGAUGCCAACCAGACUUCCCUGGACAGACAAUCCCACCAAUGUGUCCUGGAGUUCUGAUUCCCCAGAACCCCAUCCCACUAGGGAAAGAAAGAGACAGGCUGGGAGUAUGGAUCCACCUGCCAGUGCUCAUGUUCAGCGGGGAAGCAAUUACAGACUCCCAGAGGGUUAAAGAAUAGGAAAGCUAUCAGGGGAGGAGAUGAGAUACGGAGUUCUGGUUGUGGGAAUUGUGUGGAGUUGUACCCCUCUUAUUCUAUGGUUUUGUCAGUGUUUCCUUUUUAUAAAUAAAUUAAAAUUUAAUAAAGA